rnacentral:lncRNA from 1 species
GGGAUAACCUAAUAGUUCUGCUUUCAGAAACAGGUUCCUAAGGCUGAGCCAGUCAGGGAAAAGAACGUUCUGUGAUCAUUUUCAUCAAGAAUAUGGCUAGGCCGGGUGUGGUGGCUCACGCCUGUAAUCCCAGUACUUUGGGAGCCUGAGGCAGAUGGAUCACUUUAGGUCAGGAGUUCAAAACCAGCCUGGCCAACAUGGUGAAACCUUGUCUCUACUAAAAAUACAAAAAAAAUUCCUGUAAUCCCAACUACUGGGGAAGCUGAGGCAGGAGAAUCACUUGAACCCAGGAGGUGGAAGUUGCAGUGAGCUGAGACAGUGCCAUUGCACACCAGGCUGGGUGAGAAAGUGAGACUGCAUCACAAAAAAACGAACAAAUAAAACAGCAGGCAAUUUGGGCUUGAGUCUUACGGUUCUUUUAACUUACAGGUUGUGAGAAGAUCUGAAGCUGUUACCAUGACACUGAGUCCCGUUAUGCCAAAGGAUGAGUGCUCUCCCACAGGGCAGCUCCCCAGAUGAUGUGAGACCUACUGAUGAUUCCAUUGGUUUCUGCCAGGUGGUACACACCCCAUUCCCAGUCUGCCAGUCAUCAUUAUGCAAUGGCUGUUUCCUUUUGGCUAGUUGGUCCCCUUCUAAGAAAAAAUAUCUCUGGACUCAAGAUGGCGCUGUGAGAACAACCCAGGAUUGGAGCCCGCGUUGAAUUCGCAAACGGAAUGUGUGAUGAGCAGAAAUAACGUAGACUGUGACUUGGGCUCCUUUUAUCUCUAAAUUUUUUUCAAAGAGGUAAUCUUAUCAACUGAUUUAUAGAACUCAUUUUUUUCCAAAGUGUUUAAUUUUUUGUACAGAUAUUAAGUGUAUGCCAAUAAAUUAAAUAUCUCAAUAAUGGUAGUAAUAAAUAAAGUGCUGGGAUUACAGGCCUGAGCCAUUGCACCCAGCCAAGGAACAUUUGAUUUUUAAAUGACUAUAUAUGUAUUUGACAAUGACUAUAUAUAUAUAUGUGUGUGUGUGUGUGUGUGUAUGUGUGUGUAUUGUAUAUAUAUAUAUACACACAUGUGUGUGUGUGUUUGUGUGUAUAUAUACACACACAUAUUAGCGACUUUGAACUUGUUGUGAAAUCUCAAUAUGAAAAGGAUAGAAUAAGUCAUGGAAAGCUGAAAGGUCUAGUUAAAAGAAGCCAAAG